UUUCCGGUCCAGGGGGUUUGGCUCUCCGCGGCACGGGAUUUAGCGUUCGCGCUCCUUCCCUUCCCGUGGUGGAGCUGAGUCCUGACAUGGGGGCUGCAUCAAGAUCUUGUCAUUCCACAUCAUGGUUUCCUUUGAGGACGUGGCUGUACCCCUGUCCCAGGAGGAGUGGGACUGUCUGAUCCCUGCUCAGAGGGGCCUCUACAAGGAUGUGAUGAUGGAGACCUAUGGGAACCUAGUCUCACUAGGCUAUGAUUCUAGGAUUGAAAAAGAGGAACUGAUUCCAAAGCAGGACAUUUCCAAAGAAUUGGAAUCCCAGAGAGCAAAAUCAGAAGAUCAUGUAAGGAAUAUUUUUAAGGAAACUGAAGAGAUGAGUAAAACUGAGGGAAAGUUAGAGAAUUGCUGGAGAAAAUAUGCAGUAGAAGGAGUUAAGAACUCAUUCUCCCAGAAGCACAAUUUCAGAGAAAUUACCAUGAGGUAUGUGAAAACUCUCUAGAGAGAAUGGCCAGAAGUUCAAUACUGUUGGAGAAAACUGCAUCACAGACUCAAAUCCUGCCAAACAUCUUAAAGGGUCUAGAGAGGAGAGUCUCCAUCCAAGUGUGUCAAGUGUAGAAAACUUGCAACAACAUGAGGACCUCAUUAACCUCUGGAGUUUCCAAUUAGGAGAAAGAGCCUGUCAGACAGAUGUGUUAGUGAAAGUGCCCAGACAGAGUUCAGUUCUUAGUGAGAAUCAGAGGAUGAAUAAUCCAGAGAGACCGUUUGAGUGUACUGGGCAUGGAAAAACUUACAAUCAGAACAGAGCUUUUAACCAGCACCAGAGAAUUCUUAGUGGAGAGAAGCCCUAUGAGUGCAAUGAAUGUGGAAAAGCUUUCAAUCAGCCCUCUAUCCUCAGUAAACAUCAGAGAAUCCACACUGGUAAGAAACCCUACACAUGUGAGGAUUGUGGCAAAUCGUUCAGUGCUCACUCAUACUUUAUUCAGCAUUGUAAAAUUCACACUAGAGAAAAACCCUAUGAGUGUAUUAAAUGUGGGAAAGCUUUUAGUACACAUUCAUCUUAUGUUCAACACCUAAAAAUUCAUACAGGAGAGAAACCUCAUGAGUGUAAUCAGUGUGGGAAAGCCUUUAGUCAUAGCUCUAAUCUAAUUCAUCAUCAGAGAAUUCAUAGUGGAGAGAAACCUUACAAGUGCAAAGAAUGUGAGAAAGCCUUCAACAGACAAUCACACCUUAUUCAGCAUCAGAGAAUUCAUUCUGGAGAGAAACCUUAUGACUGUAAGGAGUGUGGCAAAGCCUUCAGUACACAAUUAUCUCUCAUUCAGCAUCAGAGAAUUCAUACAGGAGAAAAGCCCUACGAAUGUAAUGAAUGUGGAAAAUCCUUUAGCCUGAACUGAACUCUGACUGUCCAUCACAGAAUUCAUACUGGAGAGAAACCUUAUAGGUGUAAUGAAUGUGGGAAAUCCUUUAGUCAAUGUUCACAAGUUAUUCAACAUAAGAGAAUUCACACUGGAGAGAAACCUUAUAUCUGCAAUGAGUGUGGAAAAUCAUUUGGUGCUCGCCUAUCCCUUAUCCAGCAUCAGAGAAUUCACACUGGAGAGAAACCUUAUGGUUGUACUGUGUGUGGGAAAACCUUUAGUCAAAAGGGACAUCUUAUUCAGCAUCAGCGAAUUCACACAGGAGAGAAACCCUAUGAAUGUAGUGAGUGUGGAAAAGCUUUCAGCCAGAGUUUUAAUCUUAUUCACCAUCAAAGAACACACAAUGGUGAGAAGCCCUAUGAAUGUAAUGAAUGUGAUAAAGCCUUCAGUGUGCUUUCUUCCCUUGUUCAACAUCAAAGAAUACAUAACGGAGAGAAACCCUAUGAGUGUCACAAAUGUGGGAAGGCCUUUAGCCAGGGGUCACACCUUAUUCAGCAUCAGAGGAGUCACACUGAUGAGAAACCCUAUGAGUGUAAUGAGUGUGGGAAAACCUUUGGGCAGAUAUCCACCCUAAUUAAGCAUGAGAGAACACACAAUGGAGAGAAGCCCUAUGAGUGCAGUGACUGUGGGAAGGCCUUCAGCCAGAGUGCACACCUUAUCCACCAUCAAAGAAUUCACACUGGAGAGAAUCCCUAUGAGUGCAGUGACUGUGGGAAGGCCUUCAAUGUUCGUUCCUCUCUCAUUCAGCAUCACAGAAUUCAUACUGGUGAGAAACUUUAUGAAUGUAGUGACUGUGGCAAGGCAUUCAGUCAGCAUUCACAAUUUAUCCAACAUCAGAGAAUUCACACUGGAGAGAAACCCUACAUAUGCAAUGAGUGUGAGAAAUCCUUCAGUGCAUGCUUAUCCCUUAUCCAACACAAGAGAAUUCACACUGGAGAGAAACCCUAUGUAUGCACCAAAUGUGGAAAAUCCUUCCAACAAAGCUCUCACCUUAUUCGACAUCAGAGAAUUCACAGUGGGGAGCAACCUUAUACAUGUAAUCAAUGUAGAAAAACCUUCAGUCAGAGAAUAACUCUUAGUAGUCAUGAGAAAAUCCAUACAAUUCACAUUAGGGAGCAAGUCUAUGAAUGUAGUAAGUGUGGGGAACUCUAGCACACAGUCAUCUUUCAUUCAACAUUGUACAGUUCACAGUGAAGAGUAACUGAUUAGUCUAUAAAUUCUUCACAGUUAUACAUUAUAUGAGAGUCACACUGGUGAGAAAUGAGUCACUUUAUGGUUUUCCUUUUGGAGAUUCAACUCUUAAGGGAUUUCACUCUCCCAGUGAGCUGCUAACUAAAGGCAGGCUGCUGAAGUAUAUAGCAAUGAUCCCACAAUAGCACACCUUGCUUCAGAUUCAGGAUGAGCCCCCUUCUUGAGCCCUGUAUAUAUGUGAAACUUAAUUAUUUAGAUGCAUUUCAUAGCGCCAGACCUUAAGGUACAGUUAGGUAUUUCACUUGAGACCACUUGCUUUGCUUUGCUUUGCUUUUUUUUUUUUUUUUUGUAGAUUUAUUUCAGCUUCAAAGAAAGUAGUUGAGAUCCUUGCACUUCCAAGCGUGAUGGAACCAGGCUAGGGUUUUCUUUGUUUGUUUGGGCCUCUUCAAAACGUUUUUAUUCUGUUAUAAGGAAUACGGAACCUUAAGCUUCAAUUCACAGGGAAAAGAAACAUGAUUAUAAGCAAAAGUUUGUCAAGGAAUAAGGUGAGUCUUUGUGUAGAUUAAAAUAGUUGAGACCUUGCUAAAAAGUCAAAUAACACUGUAAUCCACCUCCAGGUUUCCAAGAGUUAAGAUGCUGCCAGCAAGGAGCUUGCAGUCUUGUAGCUGGCCCAAUAUAUCCCACUAAUUCAAAAUGGGAAAUUGUACAUUUUACUUAAACAGGAUUUGGUAGAUGGGUCUUCUAGAUAUGUUGUCAUGAAGAAAAAUCAGGAAAAUGUCCAAGGGUGGGAGCCUGUGGCUUAUGUCUUCACUUACCCAUCACAGAUAGCUAUGUUCCACUGCAAGAACAGAGUUCAUGUCUUUUCCUGAGGUGGCUGGAAAGCUUAAUCUCCUGAAGUUAAGUCAAAACUCAAAUGUCAACUCACCCAGCUCUCUUGCCUGCAGGCUGAUCCAGGGACUUAGAGCUUGUUACCCAGUUACAACUUCUUCUAGAGAAGAAAUUUUAAGAAGGAAGCAAAAAGAAAUUCAGUUUUCCCCAAGGAUCUCUUCUUUGAGGUUCCAUCAAGAGAUGACAAAAGGGGGCUGGGUGUGGUGUCUCACACCUGUAAUCCCAGUACUUUGGGAGGCUGAAGCAGGCAGAUCAUGAGGUCAAGAGAUCAAGACCAUCCUGACGAACAUAGUGAAACCCCAUUUCUACAAAAUUCAAAAAUUAGCUGGGCAUGGUGGCGCACUCCUGCAGUCCCAGCUACUUGGGAGGCUGAGGCAGGAGAAUCUCUUGAGCCCAGGAGGUGGAGGUAGCAGUGAGCCAAGAUUGCACCACUGCAUUCCAGCCUGGCCACAAAGCAAGACUCUGAAAAAAUAUAUAUAUGACAAAAGGGUUAGGAAGCUUUUUCUCUGAGGCCCAUGAUUACAGAACCAAAUCAGAAAAUAAUAAUUUUUUUGUUUUAAACCUACUUACAUAAAAUGGAGGUGUUUACUUAACUAAGAACCUCGGUAUUUACUCAAAUCCAGUUUUGAGUUUUAUGGCUAAAACAUUUCUCCAGAUUAACCUUAUCAGUUUGGAAUAUGUUUUUAUUUUCCAUUAAAUAUUUCAUCCAAAUUAUACUGAAUUUUAUUUAUCGUGGCCUUUAAAGUUCUCUACUCAAGUCAGAAAUUUCUGUUUCCUAACUACUUGGCUUGGUGAUGGCAUUAAUAUUGGUUGGGAGCUAGAUGGUCUCUGCUCUAUUUGAUGAUUGGCAUAGAGCAAUCACACACUUCGUACUUCCUAGCAUUUUUUUUUUUUUGAGACAGUGUCAUGCUGUGUUGCCCAGGGUGGUGGGCAGUGGUGCAGUCAUAGCUCACUGUAACCUUGAACUCCUGGGCUCAAGUGAUUCCCCUGCCUCAACUUCAUGAGUAGAAGGGACUGCAGGUGUGUACCACCACACUGGCCUCUCCUGGCUUCUUAAACAACUACAUUAAAAUUGAGAGGAGAAAGGCAUUUUCAGUUUCUUUAGUUAAUAAAAAGAAGCCAUUUCUGGAGGAGUUUUAUGCCUGUACCAGCAGAGUUUCAGCCUUCCAGAAAUCUCAUCAUGAUUCAUACUGCUGACACAGGGCUUUGUCACCUGAAACAUUCUUAAGGAGACUGACAUUAAACAGGACAAUUGUGAACUCCACUUUGUAAGCAUCAUACAUAUCUUACAAUUCAUUCUGAAGACUCCUUUAUUCUUGCUCUUCCCAGAGAGCUACUGUGUUUAGUCAUGCUCACUGUACUCACAAGAGAAAAGGAAUAAGUGGCAUAUUUGCAGGUGCUGAUGGUCACAAGAGCAUUUUUACUUUUUCCUCCAUGUCUGUUCUGUAGCAUUUCCAUUGAUGCAUGCUAUUGUAGACUUCUUAGGUUGACCUUGGCCUUGACCUCCACCACUAACUCUUGACCCAAAACUGAAGAUGUGCAUCAGAAAGGGACAGAUUUGGUCUUUCUGCUGUAAAAGAUAUUCUGCCUUAGUGCCUGCUAAUUUGUUGUGCAUAGUCCUGUGCUGCCAAUCCUCCCCACCAAUUGUUAAGGUUAAUUUGUGUUUUAUGUGUGUAUUCACAAACAUUAUAAUGUAAUCAGUGGAUUCCA
rnacentral:sRNA from 1 species